AACAUGUGAGACAUUCACUAAUAAAUUCGAAGAUAUCUUUCUUCAUCCCAAUCUACCAAUAUCGAGGUCGUAAACUCUGAUACAUUUUGGUAAUGUCUGGGUGUAUAGUAAACCUAGAAUUAUGUGCUUCUUCUAACAUGAGUCUCUUCAAGUUAGGGUCAUCAGGAACGCACAAUCUUCCUUUGAAUCAAAACAAACCAUCAUCAUGAAUUCUGAAGUCAAACCUUAAACUUUG
rnacentral:lncRNA from 1 species